GCGCAAUUGGUGAAGUGGUUAACACGGCGGAUUGUGGUCCCGUUAUGCAUGAGUUCGAUUCUCAUAUUGCGCCCCA
rnacentral:tRNA from 1 species